UGCCCCCAGCCCCGGGAGCCAACGCUUCCCCGGCGGGCGGGCGGGCGCGGGGAGCGGUUGGCGCGCGUGUGUUCGCGCAGUGGGAUGCCGGUGGGAGGGCGAGUGUACCCAGGGACGCGCGCGAAUCCCUGCCGGUAGACGAAGGCGCGGCUGCAUGUGUGGGGGCAGCUCGCGGGCUGCGGAGCCUCCUGUGUUUGUGUUUGGGGUUUAUCAAGGUGGUUAAGCUCCUAAAUUCUUCAGCCAGGAGCUAUGUACCCAACAGGCAGACUGCUCAGUCCGUGGAUAUUGUGUAAAUGUCUGGAAUGUACACCUGGUAUCCUCUCCCGGGGUAUCCACAGUUUAACAAAGUAAAUAGAAGAUCUCAAGGAGGAAUAUGCCUUGCAGACUUGGAGGGAGUGGUGAAAGAUGAACGGGCAGUGCUCAGCCACAAGGGGAGAAAAAUGUCAUCUGGGCCCCAGAAUAGCAACAGCAAUAAAUAUGGUCAUGUCGCUCUUCUGCUGAGGCUGAAACGACAGACAGGAUCACAUUUGCAGCACCAAACAGGCCUACUGGCGACCAAGGGCUGGCUCAGGAGUUGGGAGGAAACAUGUACAGAAACUGAUGCUGACCAAGAGCCUUGAUUUUGGAGCUGUGAUAAGGCUUAUGAAGAAAAAGGCACAGAACCCACUGCAGACCUAGAGGGGGCUCUGCACCCUCCUGGCCACUGGGGAGUAAGUUCUAAAUCAGCUUUUAGGACAGCUGGCUCAGGGCUCUUGAGAGCUGAGCCGUGAACUUCCUUGCACGUCUGCCUGAGAACUUGCUGUUAUCUGCAGCUGCCACAACCAUCAAGGCACAUGUGUAAUGAGGAAGGUGACAACGAGGGCUCUUGUUGGUCAUCGGUUAUUUAAAGAGGGCCCAUCGGAUUUCAGCUACUUCAUUGUACGGAAUCAGCACCUUUGCUCCGGGGAGGUCUUAGAGGAAGGGGCACCUCCCUCCCUUUAAAACUACUCAAGUCUCCCUUUUCAGACCAAGCUUCUGGGCUCCAGCCAUUUCUGGGACUCCUGGUGCUUCAUCUCCAUCGUCUCAUUUCAUGUAUAUUUCAAUUUCAUCUUACUAGGGCCAUGUCUCUGGGUGGUGGUGAUUUUACCAUCUUCAUAUUCUCUUGCCACUUGGAAUUGGCAACAGUGGGCUUUUACAUUCGCAGGACUUGCACAGAGCAAUAGUUUUUCAGGCUGAAAAGUUUUUCAGUUGAUACAUAUAUUUGGUUUUUUGGAAAUGGAAGCAAGCAUCACCUGAAUUGGACAAGUUUUCCUUUUUCUGUUGAACUGCCCUGCUCUAAAAGGACAUGAUUGCUUAGAAAGCCAUGCUCCUCUCUAUGAUCUUUGGGGUUUACUGGUCUCCCCACCCAGUCCCCAGUGUCACUUAGGGAGUCACUGGCAACAGUUCAUUGUGGUCACAUGUCACCCAUUUCUCUCAUGCAGCAUGAACAGUCACAGAUUCAAUUUCAUUUUUUCAUUUGUCUCAGUUAUAUGCUUAGGAUUCAAAUUAAUCUUUUCCCUCUGAACCACAGUAUGGCUUUUAUUUAAAAAAUAUGGUAGGUGAAAAAUUAAAACACACUGCUUUAGACUUGGGUAUCACAAUGUAAAAUUCAGUACUUUGUUCUAUUGUCACUAUUAUCUUAUGCUCCUUUAGUAUCUUAUUAAGACCAACACGAUAAAUGAAGUAGUUUUUGUAGCACUAGCUCUCAUGUUUGUUCUCUCAACAUCCCUGGUGAGAUUGGGUAGUUAAAAAAUCAUUCCAGUGUGUUGAAGUUGGCGCCAAAGAAACAGACGACUAUUUAAUGCCCAGGAUAUGCGGCUGCCCAGGACCUUAUCUUGUCCUAUUUAUAAAUUAACAAAGCAAAAUCUGACUUAGAGCAAUCCUUGCAACAUUAGCAUUUUCUUUCUUUAAAGCUUAUGUCUCUGAGUUUUUAUGCCAUUUUUCUUAUGUGGCCAGAGACAAUGUAGGCAUAAAUUAACUUCUCCACUUAUUAUUUAGUGACUAAAAGAACACAAGAGCAAGGAUAUUAGAAAAAUGAAUUCCAGUGUAUUACUGAAUAUUCUAAUUUGAAUUACAAAGAUAAGUGCCAAAUGAUCUUAAAUCCCUGGGAAGAUUCCUUUAAACAUAAAAAGAGAAGGAUAAAAGGUGUCUGGGAAAACUACCUAAGUCACCUUUUGGGAAAUGGGGAGAGAAAGUCACCUUCCACAGAGAGAAUGGCACUCUGUAGUUGUGCUUAAAUGAGAAACUGUAUAUAAGCACACUGUAAAUUAGUAAGAAAGCACUUAUCUUAGGAAACACAACUAAUACAAAGGUACAAUUUCACACUCAAGUUUUAAGUGUCUUCUAUGGAAUAUGUUUCCUUCAAGACUGUGUCUGAGUAUUCUAGAGGCUUUCAGAGUUGCAAACAUUUACAAAUAUUAUUUGUAAAUAUUUAUUAAUGUAACAUUAAGAAAGACGCAUUAGUGAUAUUAUUCAAAUACUAGUCAAGCACACUGGGAAGUGGCUCUUUUUUUUCUCCUUGACUUUUCUUAUCUUCAUAUUAUAAUUGACGUUUGCCUAAUAUUAACACAAUCAGCAAGGCAUAACAAAUCAGCAGAGCAUAAAGCUUAGAAAUGUGUGUAUCUAUGCAUAGUAUCUAAAUAUUUUGUUGUUAUUUCUUUCAUUAGGAAUAUUUAAUUUC